AAUUUUUCCCGUAACUGACGGAAUCAAGGUGGCUACCACUGGGGAGCGGGAAAUAUAUGUAGUUGCCGACCGUCUGGGCUUAGUGG
rnacentral:ncRNA from 2 species